rnacentral:rRNA from 1 species
UACAGAGGGGGCAAGCGUUGUUCGGAAUUACUGGGCGUAAAGGGCGCGUAGGCGGCCUUCUAAGUCGAACGUGAAAUCCCCGAGCUCAACUCGGGAACUGCGUCCGAUACUGGUGGGCUUGAAUCCGGGAGAGGGAUGCGGAAUUCCAGGUGUAGCGGUGAAAUGCGCAGAUAUCAGGAGGAACACCGAUUGCGAAGGCAGCUCGCUGGGACGUAACUGACGCUGAGACGCGAAAAGCGUGGGGAGCAAACAGG